rnacentral:rRNA from 1 species
GACGAACGCUGGCGGCGUGCUUAACACAUGCAAGUCGAACGGAAAGGCCCUGCUUUUGUGGGGUGCUCGAGUGGCGAACGGGUGAGUAACACGUGAGUAACCUGCCCUUGACUUUGGGAUAACUUCAGGAAACUGGGGUAAAUACGGGAUAGGAGCCCCGCUUGAAGGGUGGGGGUUGGAAGGUUUGGGGGGUGGGGGAUGGACUCGCGGCUUGUCGGCUUGUGGGUGGGGUAGGGGCUUACCAAGGCUUUGACGGGUGGCGGGCCUGGGGGGGUGCCGGGCCACAUUGGGACGGAGAUACGGCCGAGACUCCUACGGGGGGCAGCAGGGGGGAAUAUUGCACAAGGGGCGGAGCCCGUAUGCAGCACCCCCGGGUGCGGGAUGACGGCCUUCGGUUUGAAAACCGUUUCCGCCUGGGACGAAGGGGGAGGGAGGGAAAGGGGUAAAGAAGCCCCGGCAAACUCGGUC